rnacentral:rRNA from 1 species
UGCCAGACUCCUACGGGAGGCAGCAGUGAGGAAUAUUGGUCAAUGGGCGGAAGCCUGAACCAGCCAAGUCGCGUGAGGGAAGAAGGCCCUGCGGGUCGCAGACCUCUUUGGACGGGGAGCAAGGCCGCCGACGUGUCGGCGGAAGGAGAGUACCCGUAGAACAAGCAUCGGCUAACUCCGUGCCAGCAGCCGCGGUAAUACGGAGGAUGCGAGCGUUAUCCGGAUUUAUUGGGUUUAAAGGGUGCGUAGGCGGGAUGCCAAGUCAGCGGUAAAAAUGCGGUGCUCAACGCCGUCGAGCCGUUGAAACUGGCGUUCUUGAGUGGGCGAGAAGUAUGCGGAAUGCGUGGUGUAGCGGUGAAAUGCAUAGAUAUCACGCAGAACUCCGAUUGCGAAGGCAGCAUACCGGCGCCCUACUGACGCUGAGGCACGAAAGCGUGGGUAUCGAACAGGAUUAGAUACCCCGGUA